UACGGAGGGUGCAAGCGUUAUCCGGAUUCACUGGGUUUAAAGGGUGCGUAGGCGGGCAGGUAAGUCCGUGGUGAAAUCUCUGAGCUUAACUCAGAAACUGCCAUGGAUACUAUUUGUCUUGAAUACCGUGGAGGUGAGCGGAAUAUGUCAUGUAGCGGUGAAAUGCUUAGAUAUGACAUAGAACACCAAUUGCGAAGGCAGCUCGCUACACGAAUAUUGACUCUGAGGCACGAAAGCGUGGGGAUCAAACAGG
rnacentral:rRNA from 1 species